ACUUCGGCAGUGUAAUGGAUAAUCACAGCGGACUAGAUAUCUGUAGGUGCGGGUUCAAGUCCUACCUGAAGUU
rnacentral:tRNA from 1 species